UUAAAACCAAAGUUAUUUUCCCACCUUUCUCAUCUUCAAAUUUUAUUCAUUUUAAACCAUUUUCAAACCGUGUUCAUUGGUAGCCAUCACUUACAUUCUUGUCUAUUCUUAAAUCUUGUACACAAACCAUGUUAAACUAAGAUUGUUUUCAAACCAACCUUGUUCAUUACAAUAGCAUCAAACCAAAUCAAAUUUGCAUACACAAUUGAAUAAUUCAAUUUCAAUUAAUCCACAUCACAUUUUCAAGGCAUGUUCAUGUUUCAAUUCCGAACCAAGACAUGGACCUAACAUUCAUCAUACACCAUUAUUCAAAGCCACACUCAAAUUCAAAACUAUAACUUUCAUUUCCAUCUCAGUUGUGUACUUCAUUCUAUAACCUAUAAGCCACGUCCAAAGCAAUCCAAACAUUAAAUUUCAUUUUCCAACUGCAAGUUCAACGUUCAUGCUUCAAAUGCAUCACUAUUUUAAAGGCAUUUUCCAUACAUCAAUUAUACAUUUUCAAUGAGUUACGUUUGAGUUGUGUAAUAUGUUUGGAACUUGUUAAAUGAGUUACGUUUGAGUUGUGUAAUACAUUUUCAAGGAAGAAGCGUUUCAUUACCUGGCGGCUCAAGAAUCUGUUUGCACGUCGUCUUCUCCGACCGAAGUUCGUCGGAGCUAUUACAAGGUAAACAUUCCUCUUACAUUUUCCACGAAUCGACCAAACUUUAGCGUUGAUAACCCCUUGGUCUAUGAGAGUACCCUCACUUCGACGUCAGUUAAUUGAACUUGGAAGAAUUUAGGGUUCUUGACUGAAAUUUCCAAUUGGACUAUUUAGAGUUAAGAUUAAAGUCUUUCAUGGAGAUAUUUGGGUUCAGAACAUGGAGUAGAUGAAGAUUUUAGUUUCGAUCUGUGUUGUCGGGGUAGCUCCGUCGCCGAGGAAGCCUCCGACGCGGCGAAGAUGGUGAUGGAAAUAAGAGAGAAUGAGAAUGUGUUUGACUGCUCUUCUCGUUCUGUUUUCCUUUUGAUAGAUUAUAUUCACCUGUAUUAAUAACAUGACCGUUGUUUUGGUUUCCCAGACUGCUCUUUUCGAUGGAUUAUAUUCACGUGCAUUAAUAACGUGGCCGUUGUUGUGGUUUCCCAUGCGUGCAUUCAUUGGCCAACUCAUGCCUGUUUGAC
rnacentral:lncRNA from 1 species